CAGCAGUGGGGAAUUUUGGACAAUGGGGGCAACCCUGAUCCAGCAAUGCCGCGUGAGUGAAGAAGGCCUUCGGGUUGUAAAGCUCUUUUGUCAGGGAAGAAACACCGGCUCUAACACAGUCCGGGAAUGAUGGUACCUGAAGAAUAAGCACCGGCUAACUACGUG
rnacentral:rRNA from 1 species